rnacentral:lncRNA from 1 species
UAGAGUGAGGUCAGUUCUGGAAGCCUAAACCAUACUGAAAUGCAGGUUUAUUGCGGUUGAUAAUUUUUGUUGCGGCUCAUCAUUACAUCAGCACUUUAAAUUUUGUAGAAUUUUCGUUUCUUUUUUUAAUACCGUGAGAAACUCUUUUUUAAUGAGAUAUUCCAUGAUAGCAUUGUCGGUUCGAAGAUUGCAAUUGCUACCAUUGAGGGAAUGUACCUUUCCUUUUACCUUUUUGAAAUAACACUGCUGAUGUAUCCCAACAUUUUUAUUAAUAACUGAGAAAACUUUUAUGCAUCUAAUGUCAUUUGAAUAACCAAGAAACCAUAUUGAUUUGCCAUUUUCAACCUGGUCCUUUCGCAGCUGUCUCUGUAAGGAAGGCUGUAUUACCAGAAUCUCUGCAUGUUCGUAAUUAUAUCGUGGCAGAUAAGCCAAGGCAUGUGUUAAUCUAUGAUUUCAUACUAUGAUUUCAAGGAUCCCAGGAAACCUUUAUAAGAAGCCAGGCAGCCCCAUUUUUUCUCGAAUAGGUAUUCCCCGUGAUGAAGGUGGGUAACCCAUUUGUGUGGAAGCAACAUUUCAAGAGCUUUAUUGAAUAUUGUAAUCAUAGGAUUGCCAUUCUUAAUCUCAUGGAGGACAAGGGCCAGGAACUUGGACUUUGCCUCUUGUAAAGAGGAAGGAUGCCCUAUGAAGAUUCGAAAUGGAUAGCAACAGUAGAGCAUCAUGCAAUAAUGCACAUAUCUAAUUACUGGGUUCGAGAGCAGUUCUAAAGUCAGUAACACAGUCUAGCAUUGAUGGCCCGGUUUAUUAUCAAUACAACUAGGGGGGUGUUUGGCAUUGAUUUAAAACUUGAAAAUAUUGUUUUUUUCUUGAAAUUGUGCUUUUUUUUAAGUGUUUUUGAAUAAUUUUGAUAUGUUGAUAUUAACAAUAAAUUUUUAAAAAAUAAAUAUAUUAUUUUAAUAUUUUUAUAUACAAAAACAUUUUAAAAAUAAUCACUCCUUGUAAGCACCUUCCUAAAACAGGUAGGGUUAGUUUAAUAGUUCAUAUGAAUAUUAAUAGGGUAAUAUAUUAUUUUUGUCAUUAAGUAACAAGCUUUUAGUGGUGUAGCUAUCAUGGUUUUGAAUUCUAGCAUAAACAAAUAAAUCUUUUUAGGUAAUUAUUUUAUAUUUGAUUUAAAAAAAAAAAGAGGGGCAGAACCAAAAAGUCAAGGUGCAUGUCUUCUUUAUACCCAUGUGCCUCGACUCUUUUUUUUUUUUUUGCUAUUUUGACCCUCCUAAUUUUUAAUAUUAAAUUGAUAAUAAAUUAGUUUUUGUAUUUUUAUCAUAUAAUAAAAAAAAUUAUCUUUUUUAUGAUCUUUUGUUUUUUCUUGUUCUUUGUUUUUUCAUCUCCAUCAUUAAUAAAGUAAUAUAAAAAAAGAGGAUAUAGAGUUACAUCCUAAUAAUAAAAAUCAAAUAUCACAACUCUUCAUUCUUAUAAAUAAAUAUGUCUGUUACACAAUAAUAAACAGUAAGAAAAAAUAUUGAAAAGAAAAAAAAUAUAGAACAAAAUAUAGGAGAAUUAAUUAAUAUGAUCUUCUUAAGCCAACAAACCUAAAAUUAAUUAAUAUAUACGUGGUUGUUUCUAGUUCACAAGGUGCAAGAAGAAAGAAGCGUAAGCAUCAAAGUGAAUCUCAAUAUAAGCAAGGUAAAGAGAAAUCCAUGGAAAAGGAAAACAUUCUUUUAAGAAGAAAAGGAACAAUCACCAUGAGGUUCCUCUGGUCCACAAAGGGAAAAGAUUAGUGGGAAGAACUCGAGGGGAUAACAAGUAAAGCCAAUUUUUUUGUAAAGUAGUGCAAGCAUAACCCCACUCUUCAAUUUCCUGACAUAUAAAAUUGAUGAUGGCAUGGAAUGAAUCGACUGUGAGACUUUGUGAAUCAGAAGACAAUUUCUCUAACUGUAACUUAUGAAAAUCAUUAGCCAACAUGAUUUUAUUAAUGGGUGCAGGAGACCAUCCAGAAGGUGGACUCAUAAGCAUACAUUUUGCAAUCUCAAGCUCCACUAAAGAAGGAAAUUGGGUUAUGACAGUGAGAAACUCUUUUUUGCAUUGUCGGUUCGAAGAUUGCAAUUGCUAUCAUUGAGGGGAUGUACCUUUCCUUUUACCUUUUUGAAAUAACACUGCUGAUGUAUCCCAACAUUUUUAUUAAUAACUGAGAAAACUUUUAUGCAUCCAAUGUCAUUUGAAUAACCAAGAAA